rnacentral:rRNA from 1 species
AGAGUUUGAUUAUGGCUCAGGAUGAACGCUGGCGGCGUGCUUAAUACAUGCAAGUCGAACGAAGUUAUCUCGCUGAGGAGAGCUUGCUCAAUUCUUGAGAUAACUUAGUGGCGGACGGGUGAGUAACGCGUGGGUAACCUGCCUUACACAGGGGGAUAACAGUUAGAAAUGACUGCUAAUACCGCAUAAGCGCACAGUUUCGCAUGAAACAGUGUAGAAAAGAUUUAUCGGUGUAAGAUGGACCCGCGUCUGAUUAGCUAGUUGGUGAGGUAACGGCCCACCAAGGCGACGAUCAGUAGCCGGCCUGAGAGGGUGAACGGCCACAUUGGGACUGAGACACCGGACCCAAACUCCUACGGGAGGCAGCAGUAGGGAAUAUUGGACAAUGGGGGAAACCCUGAUCCAAGCGACGCCGCGUGAGUGAAGAAGUAUUUCGGUACGUAAAGCUCUAUCAGCAGGGAAGAAAAUGACGGUACCUGACUAAGAAGCACCGGCUAAAUACGUGCCAGCCGCAGC